rnacentral:rRNA from 1 species
AUUGAACGCUGGCGGCAGGCCUAACACAUGCAAGUCGAGCGGAUGAAGGGAGCUUGCUCCUGGAUUCAGCGGCGGACGGGUGAGUAAUUCCUAGGAAUCUGCCUGGUAGUGGGGGAUAACGUCCGUAAACGGGCGCUAAUACCGCAUACGUCCUGAGGGAGAAAGUGGGGGAUCUUCGGACCUCACGCUAUCAGAUGAGCCUAGGUCGGAUUAGCUAGUUGGUGGGGUAAAGGCCUACCAAGGCGACGAUCCGUAACUGGUCUGAGAGGAUGAUCAGUCACACUGGAACUGAGACACGGUCCAGACUCCUACGGGAGGCAGCAGUGGGGAAUAUUGGACAAUGGGCGAAAGCCUGAUCCAGCAAUGCCGCGUGUGUGAAGAAGGUCUUCGGAUUGUAAAGCACUUUAAGUUGGGAGGAAGGGAAGUAAGUUAAUACCUUGCUGUUUUGACGUUACCAACAGAAUAAGCACCGGCUAACUUCGUG